UACGGAGGGUGCAAGCGUUAUCCGGAUUCACUGGGCUUAAAGGGUGCGUAGGCGGACAGGUAAGUCCGUGGUGAAAUCCUGCAGCUUAACUGCAGAACUGCCAUGGAUACUAUCUAUCUUGAAUGUCGUGGAGGUUAGCGGAAUAUGUCAUGUAGCGGUGAAAUGCUUAGAGAUGACAUAGAACACCCAUUGCGAAGGCAGCUAACUACGCGAUAAUUGACGCUGAUGCACGAAAGCGUGGGGAUCAAACAGG
rnacentral:rRNA from 1 species